UACGUAGGGGGCAAGCGUUGUCCGGAAUCAUUGGGCGUAAAGAGCGUGUGGGCGGUUCGGUAAGUCCGCUGUAAAAGUCCAGGGCUCAACCCUGGAAAGCCGGUGGAAACUGUCGAACUAGAGUCCGGAAGAGGCGAGUGGAAUUCCUGGUGUAGCGGUGAAAUGCGCAGAUAUCAGGAGGAACACCAAUGGCGAAGGCAGCUCGCUGGGACGGUACUGACGCUGAGACGCGAAAGCGUGGGGAGCAAACAGG
rnacentral:rRNA from 1 species